rnacentral:sRNA from 1 species
UUUUUGUUUUAAGGUUUUAUAAAUACUAAAUUAAUAUGACGUUGUGAAAUCUAACCGGAUUUUGGAUCCUACCAUUUAACCGUGGUCAUUAGUGAUUCCAUAAAUCCAACAUGUUUUCACAUCUUCAUGUAUAUUUAACGAAU